GAUGAAGAACGCAGCGAAAUGCGAUAAGUAGUGUGAAUUGCAGAAUUCAGUGAAUCAUCGAAUCUUUGAACGCACAUUGCGCCCCUUGGUAUCCCGAGGGGCAUGCCUGUUCGAGCGUCAUUUCACCUCUCAAGCCUGGCUUGGUGUUGGGCGACGUCCCCUUUGGGGACGCGCCUCGAAACGCUCGGCGGCGUGGCACCGGCUUUAAGCGUAGCAGAAUCUUUCGCUUUGGAAGUCGGGGCCCCGUCUGCCGGAAGACCUACUCGCAAGGUUGACCUCGGAUCAGGCAGGGAUACCCGCUGAACUUAAGCAUAUCAAUAAGCGGAGGA
rnacentral:misc_RNA from 1 species